UACGUAGGAGGCAAGCGUUGUCCGGAAUUACUGGGCGUAAAGCGCGUGUAGGUGGUGGGACAAGUCUGCUGUGAAAGCGCCUGGCUUAACCGGGCGAGGUCGGCGGAAACUGCCCGACUCGAGGACGGUAGAGGCGAGUGGAAUUCCCGGUGUAGUGGUGAAAUGCGUAGAGAUCGGGAGGAACACCAGUGGCGAAGGCGGCUCGCUGGGCCGGACCUGACGCUGAGACGCGAAGGCGUGGGGAGCGAACGGG
rnacentral:rRNA from 1 species